ACUAAACAGGGCCUGACUGAUGGGACAAGAUCUUUGACCAUGUGCGCAAUUUGGAAGGUGCAGCCUAUGCAGCAUUCUGUUACAAGACUUUGCUGUACUGACGAAACUGCCUUGGCAUCUUUCUCCUUAUUUUCCCAAUCUUCCACUGUAAUAAAACUACGAUUGAACAAACUGGGGAGUUCCUUGCUUGCCGAUUAAGAUAUCUACUUUGGUUGGCACAGAUCAAGAAGCGGUACGUAAGCUAGCUAGACAUGCUCAGCGCCUGCUUUUGACGGGUUGUUCCUUUUGCUGGUCGUGUGUACGAGUGAUGCCAUAAAUGCUCUCCGUUAUAUAUCCAGUCUCCUUUCGGAUCCA